rnacentral:lncRNA from 1 species
UCCGUUCAGCGAGUGGGUGACGGCGAGCACUCAGCAGCAACAGCUGGACGAGAGCCGGGUCCCGGGGAAGCCGCCGCCGCUGUCCACGCGAGCCGGCCGCGACUGGAUCUCGGUGUGGUGGUCGGACGAGGGUCUGUCUCCGGAGGUGGUGGUGAGGUCGUACUGGCUGGGCUGGGGGCUGGGCGUGCCUGAUGAGCAGCAGAGGCAGCUCAGCCAGCAUCAGCACUCCAGCGUCAUCAGGGGACUUGAAUCGAACUCCGAAUACGUUAUCUCCCUGCGCGCGGCCAACGCCCUCGGCCCUGGCCCGCCCGUGUACGCCACGGUGAGGACUAAGCCUCCCGCCGCGGAGGGCGAUGACCUCGAAGAGGAGGAGG